GGCACUGGAAACUGGCAACAACAAAUUCAAAUCUUAAUCAAAAUAAAUAUAUAUAUAUAGGCGCUUUUGUGACGUCAGGUCGCAGGUGGAUUUACCCAACAGUGUUAAGAAGUAGGCUGUAUUGGACAUAUUUAAUCCUUAAUGACCCGCCCCGCCAAUAAAGUUAACAUUUCUUGACCCGACCCAACCCGACCCGACCGCGAGACCUGCGGGUUACGGGUCGGCCCGCGCAUCACUAGUGCCUCUUAUCUCGUAUUAUUGUUUUUGUAUUGUUUCUUCUGUGGUGUGUCUCUGUGUUUUGUCCCUGUUUUCUACAGGAGUGUGCAGCCUGUCUCGGUAGGGAUCUUUGACGGCAACCUGUGCGUCCUUUCUGACUGGCUAAUUACGUGGGUUCGGCUGGUGGAGUGUCUUUUGCUGGUUGGUUCCCCCCGUGACAUCCACAACAUCCGCCGUGUUUUAAACGUCUGGCCUCACAGCAGUCGUUGACAGAGAACCUAGCGGCAGCAUCAUUCUGUCCCCGGACCGAGAGUUGGGUGUUGUAGGAGUGAACUGCUGCAGGACUACAAUGGUGGAGUGGAGAGGAGACUCCUGAUGACAGUGAUCCAUUUCCAGAGCUGGGUUUUGCUCUCAAUCUGGACGGGUUCUCAGGACCUUUAUUAAAUGUGAUGGACUAUGUGCUGUAAUCUCAUCUGUUGCACCUGGCACCUCCCAAACCAUUGUGUAUAAUGGAAUGGAAGGCCGUUAUGAAAGCAUUGUGAUCCCAAAAAGACGUGAAUACUUGACACUGUGUGAGGUGGAAGUCACCGGUCGCCCUUCAGAUACGAAUAUUGCUAGAGGUGGACAAGUAACUAAUUACUCACCAUUGAUGGAAAUUGUGCCAGCAACUGGGGACAGGGAUCCUGUACCCACACACAGCAAGAUAAAAAAAAAACAUGGUGGAGACUGGACCUCCUGAAGACAUAAAAUGAACACUGUCACCAUCACGGACAACAGCCGUCAAUAGUAUGAAGCCACCAUGUUUUUUAUCUGUGAGUUCCCAAAGAGCAGGAGAAAACUACACCUAUAGUGUUGUAUAGAAUUGGCAAUUUAUGUAUUAAAUGUGUGUAAUAAAAAAUAACUGAAAUGAAAAAGAAUUUGUCCCUGCAU
rnacentral:lncRNA from 15 species